ACAAGCGGUGGAGCAUGUGGUUUAAUUCGAAGCUACGCGAAGAACCUUACCAGGUCUUGACAUCUUCUGACAGUCUAAGAGAUUAGAGGUUCCCUUCGGGGACAGAAUGACAGGUGGUGCAUGGUUGUCGUCAGCUCGUGUCGUGAGAUGUUGGGUUAAGUCCCGCAACGAGCGCAACCCUUAUUACUAGUUGCCAGCAUUAAGUUGGGCACUCUAGUGAGACUGCCGGUGACAAACCGGAGGAAGGUGGGGACGACGUCAAAUCAUCAUGCCCCUUAUGACCUGGGCUACACACGUGCUACAAUGGAUGGUACAACGAGUCGCGAGACCGCGAGGUUAAGCUAAUCUCUUAAAACCAUUCUCAGUUCGGACUGUAGGCUGCAACUCGCCUACACGAAGUCGGAAUCGCUAGUAAUCG
rnacentral:rRNA from 1 species